AAUAAAAGCUUCAGCUCAGAUUUAACACGUUAAAACGCAAACUUAAAAAAAAAGAAACAGAAGAGAAAGGUUGCUCCGCGCAUCGCGUAGCGAAAACCCCUGCCAAACCUCCCUUCGCACGAGAAACUAAAGCUGCUGCACACGACAACCAUGCUAUUCAGACCAAUAUCGUCGUCUCUUCUUCGAACGACGACUACGCAGACAAGCUUCGGGAGCAGCGAGCCAAGCCGUUGAGAGAAGCAAGGCUUGUCGUCCACAAUCGGCAGCACUCACGCCGUUUUCCGUAACCGCAGAGCCGUCGGAGUGGAGAGACAAGUCGUGGUACUGAGAAAGAUCAGUUCGGGCUAGUGCGUGAAAUCGGUCGGUCGCACGCAGCACGUUAUUCCGUGGUCGCCGAAUCGAGAGGAUUCCCUGAACAUUGGUGAUUAGAAUUUGGAAGAAUCCGCCGGUGUGGACGUUUAAUUAGUACACGUAUCCAAAAAUAAGAAAACCUCCUCUCUAUCGGGGAGCACCUUGCUGCGAGAUACAUCGCGCGGUUGGCCGGAUUGGAUUCCAUUGCGAGGCAAUCACGUGGAUAACAGGUGAGCUCAAAUUUUCUGGCGGCUAUAGAAAUCGACUGAGCGGGCUAUCAUCAAAGCUAACUUCGGCCAUUUUGUUAACCAUAUAGUUGGAGAGCAAGCCCGAUUGACGCACGUUGGGAUAGCUGUCCACGUUCACCCAGAACAACCAGGGUGCAACAAUAGCGACUUGGUCGCUGACCACACUCUGUGCGGGAAGGAGAGAUACUUCACCAGGAGGAUAAGCGAAAUCACACGUCGUAGAUUAGGGAGCCACGAGGCAAGUCAGGACGAUACAGCGGAAGAACGAAAGCCCCUCAAAAGGGUAAGAGAGAUAGUAACUAUAUGACUGCAGGCAGAAUUCUCAUGUCCAAUGCCUGCAGGGCUUUUUUUUCCCCUUAUAUUGUCUCGUUUCUGCUUAGAGCAAAGGCGUCUAGAAGGACGAGUGAGAUUCGCACUGAGGACAUACGAGUGGCCGAUCGACCGCAAGGAAAGCGUGGCGCUGAAGGUUUGGUGCAUGGACAACUGGGUGACGGUCCCGAUGGCCGCAAGAAUGGGAGCGUUCGUGCGAAGCCGCAAUGUAGCGCAUGUUCAUGCCUAAGGACGUCGCUCAACCUAAAGGAAGCAGCGGGUAGUGACGCAGCGUGGCGGCAACCGUGAGUUAAGGCAAUAUCCAUGUUAGAUAUAAGAGCUUGGUAGCUUGCACUACCCUAGGAGAGAUAGGGCCUGAGCAUAGGCAGAUUUUGCCCCAAAGAGGGAAAUACAAGAUGUUAAACUGAG